rnacentral:lncRNA from 1 species
UUUGUCUCUGUCUCUCGCUGGGUCUCUGCCCUGCUGCGCUCCCGAGCUCUCCUGGCCCUCCGUCCUCGCCCCUUGUAUCCAGCGGCGCGGGGUGGGUGGGGAUGGGGAUGGGGGCGGGGGGAAGGGCCGGCCUGCGCCGGGCCCCGGCACCUCGGGCUGGCUCCCGAGCCGGCCCCUAACAAAGGGAAGCUCCCGGGCCCCAGCCUUGGAGCGGAGCCGGCCGCGGGCCCGGGCCCGAGCCGAGGGGCCGCGGGGGGGCCUCGGAGGAGCCGCCGGAGCCGGCCCCGUCUGGAUCGGCUUAGACAGGCAGAGGUGAAGCUGGCUCCGGAGACGCAUCGGGCAGAGGGUGGUGGCGCCAAGCUUGGUGGAGCCCAGUUAAAUCUGGCACAUCUGUCCCAGGCCUCCUGAUGGUUGGAAGGUAAGGCUCCCACCAUCCUGUUAUGUGGCUUAGAAAGGGAAGCAGCUUGGCCAAAGUCACACAGU